rnacentral:misc_RNA from 1 species
CGUCAUAUCAUCUCUUUCUCUCUCACGCUUUCCGCUCACUCACCUUCUCCCAUCCCGUUUCCAAGAAAACAAACGUCAUUUUCUUUUUUUAGUUUUCUCCGCGACCAAGAACUUUAACCGGUUAUCCCAAGUCACCCUGACUUCUCAUUCUUCGUUAAGUUUCCUCUUCAUACCGGCAUAUCAACCUGUAAACAGUAAAACCAAGCCAG